rnacentral:rRNA from 1 species
AUGUUCGUGAUCCCAAUCCCUCGCCGGCGCCGGAGCCCUCGCCCUCCUCCGCCUAUUUCCCCCAUCUCUCUUCCUCCCCACUAUGCGACCGGGCAAGAUGACCGUGCGCGCAUCGAUGGAUGCGUUGGCGUCGUAGCUUCCCGCCACGGCCACGGCUCAAUGAGGAAGCGGGAGGAGGAGAAAUCCGGCGGUCACUGUGGACAUGUGCAGCUGUGGAAAGCUCAAGUGAUGCAUGCGGAUGGUACAAAGAAUCAAGCCUGGAAGUUAAUUUGGAGCUUGCCUUGUCCAGGUAAAGUAAACCAUUUUAUUUGGAGGCUUGCAUGGGACAGUCCAUUGACCCAGAAGAAUGUUUGA